rnacentral:lncRNA from 1 species
GACCUGGACAUGGUCGGCGAGGCGUCAAAUCAUGUCAGCUUCCGCCACUCCAAUGUGUGUGGCCGACACCCUAAUUAAAAGAAUCCUCCAUGGUUAGUCUAUUUAAUGUUUAGGUUUAGUAUAGUUACAUUAAUUUAGUGUAAAUUUAGCCUAGUAGAAAAUGACAUGUGGGCUGCCCCCUCCGUGUUUGACCAGUCAAAUUGACUUGGUCAGCCCGAAUUAAAUCAAAUCCAAAAGUUUUUUAAACUUUGAAAAAUCAUAUAAAAUAAACCAUAACUCUGAUGAAAAUAAUUUAUAUAUGAAAAACAAUCAGAAAAAUAUAAUGAAUUCGAGUAGGCCAUCCACAUACCCGUCACAUCCCUCUAACAUGAUGAACAUGGACAUUUGC